rnacentral:misc_RNA from 1 species
GAUGAAGAACGUAGCGAAAUGCGAUAAGUAAUGUGAAUUGCAGAAUUCAGUGAAUCAUCGAAUCUUUGAACGCAUCUUGCGCUCCUUGGUAUUCUGAGGAGCAUGCCUGUUUGAGUGUCAUUAAAUUCUCAACUACACUGACUUUGAAUUGGUGUGGCUUGGAUUUGGGGGGAAAAUUGUUGUGGGCUUUUUGUAUAGUCUGCUCCCCUGAAAUUGAUUAGCGGUACCUUUGUGGAACUGUCUACAGGUGUGAUAAUUAUCUACAUCUUAGACAUCUGCUGGAAUGCUGCUCUCUAAACCUUACUUGUAUUGACAAUCUUGACCUCAUAUCAGGUAGGACUACCCGCUGAACUUAAGCAUAUCAAUAAGCGGAGGA